GACGAACGCUGGCGGCGUGCCUAAUACAUGCAAGUAGAGCGCUGAAGGAGGAGCUUGCUUCUCUGGAUGAGUUGCGAACGGGUGAGUAACGCGUAGGUAACCUGCCUGGUAGCGGGGGAUAACUAUUGGAAACGAUAGCUAAUACCGCAUAACAGUAGAUGUUGCAUGACAUUUGCUUAAAAGGUGCAAUUGCAUCACUACCAGAUGGACCUGCGUUGUAUUAGCUAGUUGGUGGGGUAACGGCUCACCAAGGCGACGAUACAUAGCCGACCUGAGAGGGUGAUCGGCCACACUGGGGCUGAGACACGGCCCAGACUCCUACGGGAGGCAGCAGUAGGGAAUCUUCGGCAAUGGACGGAAGUCUGACCGAGCAACGCCGCGUGAGUGAAGAAGGUUUUCGGAUCGUAAAGCUCUGUUGUAAGAGAAGAACAGGUGUGAGAGUGGAAAGUUC
rnacentral:rRNA from 1 species